UACGAAGGGGGCUAGCGUUGCUCGGAAUCACUGGGCGUAAAGGGUGCGUAGGCGGGUCUUUAAGUCAGGGGUGAAAUCCUGGAGCUCAACUCCAGAACUGCCUUUGAUACUGAGGAUCUUGAGUUCGGGAGAGGUGAGUGGAACUGCGAGUGUAGAGGUGAAAUUCGUAGAUAUUCGCAAGAACACCAGUGGCGAAGGCGGCUCACUGGCCCGGUACUGACGCUGAGGCACGAAAGCGUGGGUAGCAAACAGG
rnacentral:rRNA from 1 species